UUACCACAGUUAUCUUGGAGUGGGCAUUCAUUUGGUUUAAAUGUUCUUUCAUUACUUUGUGGCUGCACACAACGUUGAUGCCUACUGUCCUCAGAAUUAGGGGUGGCAAUGGGUCAGAUCGGCCUCUGGGUCAAUUGGCCUGUCCGACCCACUUCUAAGGCAGUGGGUCGAGCUCAUUUGAACCCCAACCUAUACGUAUAGCUUAUCAAUGGCUGGGCUAGAUCACCCAACCUAACCCAACCCAAAAACUGAAACAAAUCAAUUGACAAUAAGGAGAGACACAUACACAUGAUGUAUGCAUGUUUUAUGUAUCCACUAAUUGUGUAGGGCUGGGCAUACCUUUGGCCUCAUUUUCCAUUCUUAAACUCAAGUGGUUGCUUUGGGUCAGGUCAGGUUGGUCUAGCACCAAUCCGAUUAAUUAUGAGCAGUGGGUCAGGCUUGGGCUUGAUGAAUUUUAAGUGGACUGGGUUGGGCCAUAGCACAAUGGGUCACAAUUCAGGCCGGAAUUCGUGGCCCGUUUAGUAAACUUGUCGGCUUGGGCUGACCCCAUCCCAUUGCCACCCCUACAUAAGAGUUACACUUAAAUCUGACCUUACCUAUUGCUAAUCAACAAUCUCCAGAAUUUUGUGUAAAUUUAAAAUUUGUGACACAAUCAUAUUAAAUCAACUCAGCAGAAAGGUAAUUGCAUUUUUAUAUUAAGAUAAAACCGUAGUAGUUGCAAUUUGUGGUCUAGUCGAUCAUUAUGAACUGUCCCACUUUGGUCAGUUAUUCUUUAUUCAAUUGAGUUAUUACAAUUCAACUCAAUUGCAUAUCUAAACGCAGUCUAAAUAAACUAGUGUUAGGCUCUAAAAUAUGAAUAAUACCAUGAGCCACCCACUUCACACAGGCCGCCCACCCCGAGUGUGCCCCUACAUCUCGCAGGCUACCCCACUCGAGUCCAGUGUGAAAAUGCCCCUGCAUUAAUCAUCCCCGAUGAGAAGUCUCAAACAGGAGACCUCCAGCUCCAAUACCACUUUGAUGUAGGAUAAUUAAGCGCAUGCUCUAAAAGCUCAAACUGAUAGAGAAUGAUGAAUCAAUCCCUUUAUCUCAUAGCCCAGGCCCCACAUCCCAUGGGUUAGGACCUCGGCUGUACCCCCCUCGUGGGCUCCACUUCACAUGGGUUCCGCUUCACACGAGCCACCCGCUUCACACGGGCCGCCCACUCCGAGUGUGCCCUUGCAUCUCACUAGCCACUCCACUCGAGUCCGAUGUUAAAAUGCCCUUGCAUUAAUAAUUCAACUAAUGCACAUGCCACCUCAUGCCAGCAUGGCUGACAAGUGCAUCCAAGCCAUCCAUCAAAAGGUACCACUUUGUAGAUUCCCUACCCCAAGAAUCCAGAUGUUCCACUAGUAAGGUGGGCCACAAUUAACUGAACAAAUGUACAGUUGUAAAAGAUCUGUGAAGUUUUCUAAGCCACCAACUUAUUUCUUGUAUCAUGGCACACCUACUGAAUGAACCACCUUUAUCUUUGGGCAGUAACAUCUACACGGUGAGGUCCACCUGAUGGAUGGAUUGGAUAUUUCACCCUACCAUGCCAGCAUGUUGUGGCAUGUGCAUUAGCUGACUUGUACACGCGUCUGGGCUUAGCAAAGCUCAUAGUACAUAAGAUAGUGCUUGUAUGUGGUAUUUCUCAAUCAGUGGGAGAAUCUUUUUGGGAAUACAAAUCCAAUUUAUGUAUUGCAUUAGUAAAUAUAAACUAAGCAAUUGCACAAUUUUAUUUCGACUGUAGUAAGCUAAUAUGCCAGAGCUGUUAAGUAAUGACAACUUUGGGACCCAUGAGGUAUGAACAUUACCAAAUGCAUGGAUUAUGGAUUCUAUCGAAGACGACUUUUUACGGAGGCUGGGAGUCUGUUUACAGAAGAUCCAAUUGCAGAAAACCUCAAUGUGCUUUAGAUGUGAUUGCUAAAGUAACCCAUCUACAAUGAGGCUUUGGGUUUCCCUGUGACUGAAUAGUUGAGCCUCUAUCUUGUUUUAAUGGCCUCAAAUUACACAACGUUGAGGUCAGGGGUUUAACAUUCAUGCAUAGCUAUUUAAAAAGAAAAAGGUAGGGCUGUCAAUGGGCCAUGCUUGGGCUGCAUAGAGCCUGUCAGCCUGGCCCGUUUAAGUUUUCAAGGGCAUUUUUGUCAAUAUCAUGCAUGAUUGGGCACUCCAAACAAACAGCCUAUAUCUUGCACAAAAGAGGGUGGCUGGGCUUGGGCUCGGGUGCCAUGCAUAAUCAUCACGGGCCAGACUUGGGCCUGUUUUGUUUGACCCAGACUUGGGCCUGGAUCUUACUUUGCGGGCUGGGUUUGGACAGACCUCAGUCCAGCCCAUUGACAG